AGAGUUUGAUCAUGGCUCAGAGUGAACGCUGGCGGCAUGCCUAACACAUGCAAGUCGAACGGGAUUGGCAGCUUAUCGCCGAUCUAGUGGCAAACGGGUGAGCAACACAUGGGUGAUCUUCCCUUAAGAGGAAAAUAACUCGCCGAAAGGCGAGCUAAUGUUCCGUAAGACCACGGUCUUUCCUACGAAAGACUGAGGCCAAAGUCUCGCAAGGGACGCUUGAGGAGGAGCCCGUGGCCUAUCAGCUAGUUGGUGAGGUAACGGCCCACCAAGGCUAAGACGGGUAGCCGAUCUGAAAGGGUGAUCGGCCACACUGGAACUGAGACACGGUCCAGACUCCUACGGGAGGCAGCAGUGGGGAAUUUUGGACAAUGGGGGCAACCCUGAUCCAGCAAUGCCGCGUGAAGGAUGAAGGUCUUCGGAUUGUAAACUUCUUUUACAGGGGACGAAACGGUUCGUGAAGAGCGGACCGAGACGGUACUCUGUGAAUAAGCCACGGCUAACUACGUGCCAGCAGCCGCGGUAAUACGUAGGUGGCAAGCGUUACUCGGAAUUACUAGGCGUAAAGCGCAGGUAGGUGGUUGGGUAAGUCCGCAAUGAAAGUUCCUGGCUUAACCGGGAGAGGUUUGUGGAUACUGCUUGACUCGAGUGUGGGAGAGGUGACUGGAAUUCCCGGUGUAGCGGUGAAAUGCGUAGAGAUCGGGAGGAACACCAACGGCGAAAGCAGGUCACUGGCCCAAUACUGACACUGAGCUGCGAAAGCUAGGGGAGCAAACAGGAUUAGAUACCCUGGUAGUCCUAGCCGUAAACGAUGUAGACCAGAUGUGGGGGGUAUCGACCCCCUCCGCGUCGACGCUAACGCAUUAAGUCUACCGCCUGGGGAGUACGGCCGCAAGGUUGAAACUCAAAUGAAUUGACGG
rnacentral:rRNA from 1 species